UACGAAGGGGGCUAGCGUUGCUCGGAAUCACUGGGCGUAAAGCGCACGUAGGCGGACUCUUAAGUCGGUGGUGAAAUCCUGGAGCUCAACUCCAGAACUGCCUUUGAUACUGAGGAGCUCGAGUCCGGGAGAGGUGAGUGGAACUGCGAGUGUAGAGGUGAAAUUCGUAGAUAUUCGCAAGAACACCAGUGGCGAAGGCGGCUCACUGGCCCGGUACUGACGCUGAGGUGCGAAAGCGUGGGGAGCAA
rnacentral:rRNA from 1 species